rnacentral:misc_RNA from 1 species
AGGAUUCAACGAGUGAUUGGACAGUGAGGGAAGAUACAAGAAUAUGGACCUUCAUAUUGAAUUGGUUAAUCAAAUAGCACAUUAUUUUCAUAAAUAAUCAAGUCAAAUAAGUUAAAGCAACAUUGAUGAUUGAACAAGAAACUUAUACUUCUUAUUAUUAUCAAGUAUCAGUAGCAAGUCAAGACCAAAAAGACACUUUAAAUGUAGCCAGUUCACCAUAAUAUUGUAAUCACAAACGUAUCAUUGACCCAUGUUCUGAUAUCAUACAUGAGUCCCAAGGUGCAUUUUGCAUUUAGCAUCCACCAAAUCACAUUGCAUUUGAAGCCAAAAAAAAAUGAAGUAAAAUAUGAAGUAAAAUUCAUAAAAUAUUUCAAAGUGGGUUUUUCACCAUCAUUUGCCUUGAGACCUUGACAAUCUCACUUAUCAUAGGCUAUCCUCACUUAGCGUAAUGAAUUUGAUUAGAAAAUCAAGCCCAAAACGAUAAUGCUUCCGUUUAAGGGCCACAAUUGGAAGCAGCGUUACACAAAACCAAUGUCCAGGAACAGCCAUUGUUGUCCAUAGCAAUCACAGUGAUGAAUCCACAAAACCAUAAUGCUCCAUUUAAGGGCCACAAUUGCAUGAGGAACUAAAUGAAACUUAAAAUUCAAUAAUUAGUUGAACUCAUUGCUGCUUAAGAUAACUAGAAUUCAAUGCAGCUAUGUCAUUCUUUAGCAUAAAAUUAUAUUUAAGGAUACUUUCAUCUUCAAGAAAAAAGAUCAGCAAUCCAUGCGCUUACCAAUCUUAUAAGUUUAGCAAUGAGCCAACGAGAAGGUCCUUAUCCAAACUCCCCUCAGCAUCUCUCUCCAAACCCAACUUUUCCUCUAGAAUCACAUCGAUGACUGAGCACCAGGAAUCAUCUCGGGUUGGCUCCGUAAAGAACAAGAAGCACCACCAUGACGUAAAAAACCACGCAAACAAUAAAAGCAAUCCAAUUAUGCAUGCUAUGUUAUUAUAAUCUAAACCUGAGAAAUGCUCUCUCUCUCUGUUUCGGUGACAGGAAAGACUCGACAACAGAAGCAAC